UACGUAGGGCGCGAGCGUUGUCCGGAUUUAUUGGGCGUAAAGAGCUCGUAGGCGGCUCAGUAAGUCAGAUGUGAAAACUCGGAGCUCAACUCCGAGCCUGCGUUCGAUACUGGAUGGCUAGAGUCUGGUAGGGGGAUCUGGAAUUCCUGGUGUAGCGGUGGAAUGCGCAGAUAUCAGGAGGAACACCGGUGGCGAAGGCGGGAUCCUGGGCCAGUACUGACGCUGAGGAGCGAAAGCCAGGGGAGCAAACGGG
rnacentral:rRNA from 1 species